ACGCUGGCGGCAUGCCUUACACAUGCAAGUCGAACGGCAGCGCGGGGCAACCUGGCGGCGAGUGGCGAACGGGUGAGUAAUAUAUCGGAACGUACCCUGGAGUGGGGGAUAACGUAGCGAAAGUUACGCUAAUACCGCAUACGAUCUAAGGAUGAAAGUGGGGGACUCGCAAGAGCCUCAUGCUCCUGGAGCGGCCGAUAUCUGAUUAGCUAGUUGGUAGGGUAAAAGCCUACCAAGGCUUCGAUCAGUAGCUGGUCUGAGAGGACGACCAGCCACACUGGAACUGAGACACGGUCCAGACUCCUACGGGAGGCAGCAGUGGGGAAUUUUGGACAAUGGGCGCAAGCCUGAUCCAGCAAUGCCGCGUGAGUGAAGAAGGCCUUCGGGUUGUAAAGCUCUUUUGUCAGGGAAGAAACGGUGAGAGCUAAUAUCUCUUGCUAAUGACGGUACCUGAAGAAUAAGCACCGGCUAACUACGUGCCAGCAGCCGCGGUAAUACGUAGGGUGCAAGCGUUAAUCGGAAUUACUGGGCGUAAAGCGUGCGCAGGCGGUUUUGUAAGUUUGUCGUGAAAGCCCCGGGCUCAACCUGGGAAUUGCGAUGAAGACUGCAAGGCUUGAAUCUGGCAGAGGGGGGUAGAAUUCCACGUGUAGCAGUGAAAUGCGUAGAGAUGUGGAGGAACACCGAUGGCGAAGGCAGCCCCCUGGGUCAAGAUUGACGCUCAUGCACGAAAGCGUGGGGAGCAAACAGGAUUAGAUACCUUGGUAGUUCACGCCCUAAACGAUGUCUACUAGUUGUC
rnacentral:rRNA from 1 species